rnacentral:rRNA from 1 species
AGUGAACGCUGGCGGUAGGCCUAACACAUGCAAGUCGAACGGCAGCACAGAGGAGCUUGCUCCUUGGGUGGCGAGUGGCGGACGGGUGAGGAAUACAUCGGAAUCUACUCUGUCGUGGGGGAUAACGUAGGGAAACUUACGCUAAUACCGCAUACGACCUACGGGUGAAAGCAGGGGAUCUUCGGACCUUGCGCGACUGAAUGAGCCGAUGUCGGAUUAGCUAGUUGGCGGGGUAAAGGCCCACCAAGGCGACGAUCCGUAGCUGGUCUGAGAGGAUGAUCAGCCACCCUGGAACUGAGACACGGUCCAGACUCCUACGGGAGGCAGCAGUGGGGAAUAUUGGACAAUGGGCGCAAGCCUGAUCCAGCCAUACCGCGUGGGUGAAGAAGGCCUUCUGGUUGUAAAGCCCUUUUGUUGGGAAAGAAAUCCAUCUGGUUAAUACCCGGGUGGGAUGACGGUACCCAAAGAAUAAGCACCGGCUAACUUCGUGCCAGCCGCCGCGGUAA